UAUGUGAUCGUCUCUCGCAUAUCAAUAAGCGGAGGAAAAGAAACUAACAAGGAUUCCCCUAGUAACGGCGAGUGAAGCGAGAAGAGCUCAAAUUUGAAAUCUUAAAGGGUUUCCCUUUACGAAUCGUAGUUUAAAGAAGUGUUUUCUGUUGAGGUUUUGGUAAAAGUUCUUUGGAAUAGGACAUCAUAGAGGGUGAGAAUCCCGUAUUUGACCUUUACUUUCAACUUUGUGAUACACUUUCAAAGAGUCGGAUUGUUUGGGAAUGCAGUCCAAAAUGGGUGGUAAAUUUCAUCUAAAGCUAAAUAUUGGCGAGAGACCGAUAGCGAACAAGUACCGUGAGGGAAAGAUGAAAAGAACUUUGAAAAGAGAGUUAAACAGUACGUGAAAUUGUCAAAAGGGAAGCGUUUGACACCAGUGUUGUUUUUCUGAAAAUCAAUUAAAGAACUGUUUAUGCUAAGUUGUUUAGACUUUAUCAGCUAACUGUUUAGUUUUGAGCUUUUCUUUAAUGCACUUUUCAGUUAACAAGUCAACAUCAAUUUCUUUUGCUGUAAAAAGCUUGAGGAAGGUGGCUUGAGAUUCGUCUUAAGUGUUUAUAGCCUCUUGCCUAUGCAGUCGGAGAGAUUGAGGUCUGCAGCGUAGAUCCUUCGGGGCUAAAUGCAUUUGUGCUAAGUUAUAACAUUUUAUAGACAACUUGUUGACUAUGAUUUGUCUUGUAGCUUACUCGCUUAUGUUAUUUUACCUACGCUUAGGAUGUUGAGUAGCGACAUACGCAC
rnacentral:rRNA from 1 species